CCAAGCUACUAAGGGCACAUGGGGGAUGUCUUGGCGUCAGAAGCCUAUGAAGGGCGUGGAAGACUGCGAUAAGCCCGGGGUAGUUGUCAAACGAGCGUUGAUCCCGGGAUACCCGAAUUAACACACACUGAAUCCAUAGGUGUGUGUCGCGAACACGGUGAACCGAAACAUCCAAGUAACCGUUGGAAAAGAAAGAAAAAUCGAUUUCCCUAGUAGUGGCGAGCGAAAAGGAAAUAGCCCAAACCGCGAGGGUUUCCCUCGCGGGGUUGUAGGGCCUUUCACAUGGGAGUUACCAAGCUACCAGCUAGCAGAACUGUCUGGAAAGGCAGGCCACAGCGGGUGACAGCCCCGUAUGCGGCAGUGGUGUAGCCUCCCGAAAGGUACCUGAGUAGGUCGGGCCACGUGAAAUCCCGACUGAAUCCACGGGGACCAUCCCGUAAGGCUAAAUACUCUCUGACGACCGAUAGUGAACUCAGUAGGGCGACUGAAAGAUGGGAAGAACCCCUGUUAGGGGAGGAUACUGAACCUGAAACCAUGUGCCUACAAGCGGUCGGAGCACUAUGGCGAGCUUGCUCGCAAAGUGUGACGGCGUGCCUUUUGCAUAAUGAUCCGGCGAGUUACCGUCUGCGGCGUUUAGGUUAAGGCCUUCCGGGCUGGAGCCAUAGGGAAACCGAGUCUGAAUAGGGCGACAUAGUCGUUGGCGGUAGACGCGAAUCUGCGUGAACUACCCAUGAGCAGGUUGAAUCGCGGGUUAUACCGCGUGGAGGACCGAACCCACUUGGGUUGAAAACCGAGGGGAUGACUUGUGGGGAGGAGUGAAAGUCUAAUCAAACGCAGGGAUAGCUCGUUCUCUCCGAAAUAGCUUUAGGGCUAGCCUUGAGCAACUACGCAUCGGGGGUAGAGAUACUGAAUCGGGUUGGGGGUCCUCCAAGACUACCCUCCUGAACCAAACUCCGAAUACCGAUGCGACUAUCUCAGGAGUCAGUCCGCGAGGGAUAAGCUUCGCGGUCAAGAGGGAAACAACCCAGAUCACCUGCUAAGGUCCCGAAGUCGAGCUUAGUCACUAAGGAAGUUGAAUUGCCGAGACAGCCAGGAUGUUGGCUUAGAAGCAGCCACCAUUUAAAAAGUGCGUAACAGCUUACUGGCCAAGCAGUUCUGCGCCGAUAAUGAACGGGAGUAAGUUCGACACCGAAGCAGUGGAAUCCGAAAGGAUUGGUAGGAGAGCGCUGAAGAUCAGACACGAGCCGUACCGUAAGGAGCGGUGGAGGGGUCUUCAGGUGCUUAUGCCGGAAUGAGUAACGAUAAGGCAGGUGAGAAUCCUGCCCGCCGAAAGCCUAAGGUUUCCUGGGGAAGGUAAUUCCGCCCAGGGUUAGCCGGUACCUUAGUCGAGGCCGAAAGGCGUAGACGAUGGAUAGCAGGUCAACAUUCCUGCGCCACUAUAGUGGACCGAUGGAGGGACGGCGUCUGGAUGGUGAGCCGUACGAGUAGAAACGUCGGUAGACCAAUCUGCGGUGUGGGAUAGGCAAAUCCGCCCACGCAAGCCAAGGGUUGGGCUCGAGCGCAUUUACGUUCGUGAAGUCAUCUGAAGGGCGUCCAAGAAAAGCUCCUAAGGGUUGAAACUAUAGUGACCGUACUAAAACUGACACAGGUAGGCGAGACGAGUAGUCUAAGGCGCUCGGGAGAAUGGUGGUUAAGGAACUCUGCAAAAUGACCCCGUAAGUUCGCGAUAAGGGGUGCCUCCGACGGUGAAUAGCUUUUGGAGGCCACAGUAAAUCGGCAUCAGCGACUGUUUAUCAAAAACACAGGACUCUGCUAACUCGCAAGAGGAUGUAUAGAGUCUGACGCCUGCCCGGUGCCGGUAGGUUAAGGAAGGGGGUUAGCCGCAAGGUGAAGCCCGCGACCGAAGCCCCGGUAAACGGCGGCCGUAACUAUGACGGUCCUAAGGUAGCGAAGUUCCUUGUCGGGUAAGUUCCGACCUGCAUGAAUGGCGUAACGACAGCUCUACUGUCUCAACCAGUGACCCGGUGAAAUUGUAGCCGUGGUGAAGAUGCCACGUUCCCGUAGCUAGACGGAAAGACCCCAUGAACCUUUACUGUAGGCUGGUAUUGGGCUGUGAUAUGUUCUGUGUAGGAUAGGUGGGAGGCGUUGAAGCCGGUACGCCAGUAUCGGUGGAGCCAACCUUGAAAUACCACCCUGGGCAUAUUUUAGUUCUAACGCUGUCCCGUGAAUCCGGGCAGCGGACAUUUCCAGUUGGGCAGUUUGACUGGGGCGGUCUCCUCCAAAAAGGUAACGGAGGAGUUCAAAGGUACCCUCAGCCUGGUUGGCAAUCAGGCGUCGAGCGUAAAGGUAGAGAGGGUGCUUGACUGCGAGACAGAUGUGUCGAGCAGAUGCGAAAGCAGGACUUAGUGAUCCGGUGGUCCCGCAUGGAAGGGCCAUCGCUCAUCAGACAAAAGGUACUCUGGGGAUAACAGGCUUAUCGCUCCCGAGCGUCCACAGCGGCGGAGCGGUUUGGCACCUCGAUGUCGGCUCAUCACAUCCUGGGGGUGGAGAAGCUCCCAAGGGUUUGGCUGUUCGCCAAUGAAAGUGGUACGUGAGCUGGGUUCAGACCGUCGUGAGACAGGUCGGUCCCUAUCUGCUAUGGGCGCACGAAACUUGCGGAGGUUCUUCUUUAGUACGAGAGGAUUUAGAAGGACGUACCUCUGGUGUUCCAGUUGUCGCGCUAGCGGCACGGCUGGGUAGCUAUGUACGGAAAGGAUAAACGCUGAAAGCAUAUAAGCGUGAAGCCCUCUCCAAGAUCAGGUUUCGUUGGGGUAUAACCCCGAAAGUCCCCUGGAAGAUUACCAGGUCGAUAGGUCGGAUGUGUAAGCGCAGUAAUGCGUUCAGCUAACCGAUACUAACGGACGAAUGCUUGGCCGC
rnacentral:rRNA from 1 species